CCCACUGACCUCUGGCCCAAGUGGACCUCCAGGUGAUUCCCAAAGACAUCAACAAACCCAACAGACAGACUCAGAGAAGAAGAGAGAGGAUCCCCCACUGACCUCUGGCCCAAGUGGACCUCCAGAAACUCCUGCUGCAAAGUGUCGACGUAAACUCAAGUCUAACCUGCAGGAGAAGUUCCAGUGUCUGUUUGAGGGGAUCGCUAAAGCAGGAAACUCAACCCUUCUGAAUCAGAUCUACACACCGCUCUACAUCACAGAGGGAGGGACUGCAGAGGUCAAUGAUGAACAUGAGGUCAGACAGAUUGAAACAGCAUCCAGGAAACCAGACAGACCAGAAACAACAAUCAGACAAGAAGACAUCUUUAAAGCCUCUUCUGGAAGAGAU